GCAAGAUCGAACGAGGUUUGGUCAGUUUGCGGUGGUGCUUGCAUCACCAAUUACCGAUCAAACCGAGUGGCGGACGGGUGAGUAACACGUGGGUAACCUGCCCUUCAGCAGGGGAUAACAUUUGGAAACAGAUGCUAAUACCGUAUAACCACGGAGACCGCAUGGUCUCCGGGUAAAAGAUGGCGCAAGCUAUCACUGAAGGAUGGACCCGCGGCGUAUUAGCCAGUUGGUGGGGUAACGGCCUACCAAAGCGAUGAUACGUAGCCGACCUGAGAGGGUAAUCGGCCACAUUGGGACUGAGACACGGCCCAAACUCCUACGGGAGGCAGCAGUAGGGAAUCUUCCACAAUGGACGCAAGUCUGAUGGAGCAACGCCGCGUGAGUGAAGAAGGCUUUCGGGUCGUAAAACUCUGUUAUUGAAGAANAACAGUGUGUGACAGUAACUGGUCAUGCAGUGACGGUAUUCAAU
rnacentral:rRNA from 1 species